rnacentral:rRNA from 1 species
CCUACGGGCGGCAGCAGUGGGGAAUCUUGCGCAAUGGCCGAAAGGCUGACGCAGCGACGCCGCGUGCGGGAGGACGCCCUUCGGGGUGUAAACCGCUGUCAGCGGGGACGAACCCCCGGGGGAGGCAAUGCCCCUGGGCUGACGGUACCCGCAGAGGAAGCACCGGCUAACUCCGUGCCAGCAGCCGCGGUAAUACGGAGGGUGCGAGCGUUGUUCGGAAUUAUUGGGCGUAAAGCGCACGUAGGCGGUCGGGUAAGUCUUCAGGUGAAAGGGCGGGGCUCAACCCCGUGCUUGCCGGGGAUACUGUCCGACUGGAGACAGGGAGAGGCCAGUGGAAUUCCGGGUGUAGCGGUGGAAUGCGUAGAGAUCCGGAAGAACACCGGAGGCGAAGGCGGCUGGCUGGCCCUGAUCUGACGCUGAGGUGCGAAAGCGUGGGGAGC